rnacentral:lncRNA from 1 species
CUUUUUCUUUAAACACACAAAGCUCACACCCUUUGCACCCUUUCUUGCCUCUAACGCUCAUCUCUGAUAUCUUAACAUGAUUUAAAUAUACCUAUUUGUCACAUCUGUUGAAAUCUCAAGUUCCAUGAGGCAGGAAUCAUGCCUGUUUUUCUUCUAUGUUACUUUUGUAACCCCUGGUAGAGUGGUAAUGGGUGGCAAAGUAUUUUAUUUGAAAAAUAUUGUAGCAUGCGUAUCCCAAUGGAAUACAUGCACAACAGAGGUAGCUGAUUUAUCUAUGUUUUCAGCAGGUAGAGCAGCACAUUUUAGGCAUUCAGUAAAUUGUUAUUGAAUCCAUAUUGAAUUCUUCAGUUGAUUUUUGAACAUUUCAAGUUUGAAAAAAACAGAAAAUCAGAAUGCUAUAGGUAAUAGGGAGGGGGCAAUCCAAAAGCAGACUGUGGAAAAGAAUUCCUUAUGUAAACCCCAAAUUUAUCCAGAUACAAUAGUGGUACAAGGAACAUGUCUGAUUAACGAGCGUUCUCUGUUCUCCUCAGUGGAUUUCCAGUCCUUUGCCAUACAUGAUAUAUAAAGAAUGAAUAAAUUUGCCAAAUUAAUUAAUUCAAAGACUGACCUGAAGAUUUUAUUUGCUUAAUAAAAAUUUAAAGGACCUACUCAGUAAUUCAUUAGGAGAGUGCAACUGAGGGGGUUAAAAUAUGAAUGUCUUAUUUUCAAACAUUAUCAGUACUGUGAAAGUACUUGUUUUUAUUCAGAGAGGAGUCUAUACUGCUGCCCAGGCUGGUCCUGAACUUCUGGGCUCAAGCCAUUUUGCUGCAGCCUCUUAAGUAGCUGGGACGACAGGUGUGUGCACCUGGUUUGAAAGCACUAAACCAGUUAGUGCCUAUCAUUAACUAAAUUCAUAUUUGAUACUAAUAUGUAGCAGAAAUUAAAAUUUGCUGUUAUUUGCAGGACAAUUAUAGAGUAUUGUGGUCACUGUCACUCUUCCAGUUCCAUCGACAGCCCUCAGGCUUGUUCUUGGUGAUGUAUUUGAUGGAUUUACACAAGCUGUGUUAUUUGAAAUUAUGCAAUUUCAUUGUUUCAAUAUUUUGUUCAAAC